CACGUAGGCUCCAAGCGUUGUCCGGAUUUAUUGGGCGUAAAGAGCUCGUAGGCGGUUUAGUGAGUCGGGUGUGAAAACUCUGGGCUUAACCCAGAGAGGCCACUCGAUACUGCUAUGACUAGAGUACGGUAGGGGAGUGGGGAAUUCCUGGUGUAGCGGUGAAAUGCGCAGAUAUCAGGAGGAACACCAGUGGCGAAGGCGCCACUCUGGGCCGAAACUGACGCUGAGGAGCGAAAGCGUGGGUAGCAAACAGG
rnacentral:rRNA from 2 species